rnacentral:rRNA from 1 species
AGAGUUUGAUUCCUGGCUCAGGAUGAACGCUAGCGGCAGGCCUAACACAUGCAAGUCGAGGGGUAGAGUUCUUCGGAACUUGAGACCGGCGCACGGGUGCGUAACGCGUAUGCAAUCUACCUUAUACAGGGGAAUAGCCCAGAGAAAUUUGGAUUAAUGCCCCAUAGUGUUAUCGAAUCGCAUGGUUUGAUAACUAAAGUUCCAACGGUAUAAGAUGAGCAUGCGUCCCAUUAGUUAGUUGGUAAGGUAACGGCUUACCAAGACAAUGAUGGGUAGGGGUCCUGAGAGGGAGAUCCCCCACACUGGUACUGAGACACGGACCAGACUCCUACGGGAGGCAGCAGUGAGGAAUAUUGGUCAAUGGGCGCAAGCCUGAACCAGCCAUGCCGCGUGCAGGAAGACGGUCCUAUGGAUUGUAAACUGCUUUUAUACAGGAAGAAACACCUCCACGUGUGGAGGC